rfam:Schistosoma rodhaini strain Burundi genome assembly, scaffold: SROB_scaffold0017465
GCAUUGCUGAAGAGUCCCAUAAUAGGACGAAACGGCCGUCCAGUGU